GGGUUGUAAACCGCUUUUCGGGGGGAAGAGGAAGGACGGUACCCCCGGAAUAAGUCUCGGCUAACUACGUGCCAGCAGCCGCGGUAAAACGUAGGAGGCAAACGUUAUCCGGAUUUACUGGGUGUAAAGCGCGUGCAGGCGUUUCGUAAGUCGUGUGUGAAAGCGCUCAGGCUCAACCGGGCGAGGCCAUGCGAAACUGCGGAACUGGAGGCAGGUAGAGGCGUGUGGAAUUCCGGGUGUAGUGGUGAAAUGCGUAGAUAUCCGGAGGAACACCAGUGGCGAAGGCGACACGCUGGGCCUGACCUGACGCUAAGGCGCGAAAGCAUGGGGAGCGAACGGGAUUAGAAACCCCGGUAGUCCAUGCCGUAAACGAUGCGUACUAGGUGUUGCGGUGUCAAAACUGCAGUGCCGGAGCCAACGUGAUAAGUACGCCACCUGGGGACUACGGCCGCAAGGUUAAAACUCAA
rnacentral:rRNA from 1 species